GUGGCUAUAGCUCAGUUGGUAGAGCCCUGGAUUGUGAUUCCAGUUGUCGUGGGUUCGAAUCCCAAAAAAAAAAAUUAGCCACCCCA
rnacentral:tRNA from 2 species